UACGUAGGGGGCAAGCGUUGUUCGGAAUUACUGGGCGUAAAGGGCGCGUAGGCGGCACGGCAAGUCAGGAGUGAAAGCCCGGGGCUCAACCCCGGAAUGUCUUUUGAAACUGCCGAGCUAGAGUGCGGAAGAGGCAACUGGAAUUCCCAGUGUAGCGGUGAAAUGCGUAGAUAUUGGGAGGAACACCUGAGGCGAAGGCGGGUUGCUGGGCCGACACUGACGCUGAUGCGCGAAAGCCAGGGGAGCGAAUGGG
rnacentral:rRNA from 1 species